rnacentral:ncRNA from 1 species
CGCGGACUGACGGAAUAGUCCGUUAAAGGGUGUAGAUGUUGAUUCCUGCAGGCAAAUCCGCAGGAAGAGUCGAACCUGACAGUAUGGAGCGUCCUUCGGGACAAUCCAAUAGUGCAUGUAAUCAUACUCCCGAGAAAAUCCGCUAAACUUAAUCCUUGUGGUACCCGUACCGCAAACGGACACACGUAGUCGGGUUGAAUAUACUAAGGCGCUUGAGUGAUUCACGGUUAAGGAACUA